GCCGGGGCGUCCCCCGCGGGAGCCCGCAGCCACCCGGGACGCGCAUCCAGACGUGGCGCUUCGGACCGGGCACGCUGCGCCCGGGGGCUCGGCGGACCCCGCGUAGCCGCCGCUUCGGAGCUUGUGCGGCGCGGGCUGGCCAGCGGGGCGGCCAGGGCCCGGCCCGCCUCCCCAGCGCCCGCCCGGCUUCUCCCCCUGGCGGUGGGAGCCUCGGCGGCCGCUGGCGACACUAGGCGCACUGAAGCCCGAGCCGAGCCGAGCCCGAGCCGCCGCCGCCGCCGCCGCUGCUGCGCACCGCUCCCGGGCUCCCUCCCAGCGCGCCGGCCGGGGUGUGGGGGGCGGCGGGCCGGAGGGGCGAGGGCGGGCCAGGGGGCGCACACGGGGGUUGGCGCGGAAGACAGGACCCUCAGCCUCGAGGGAGCCCCUAGGUGACCAGGCAAAAUGGCAGUUCCUUCCAGCUGGUCCUCAGAUGGGCACAUCUAUUAGCCUCUGCUCUUGUAAGAAGUUAGCUGCAGAACCCACAUGUGAAUCCUUGUAGGACUCUGGAGAAGAUCAAAUGGGAGCUUAGAUGUGGAAGCUCUUUGGAAACCAAGAAACACUCUGAAAAUGAAAAGGGUGGAAGAGUAAACUGUUCCUGUUUCUCCAUCUUGACAGGAAGCAGAAGUUCUCCUUAGCUGAUUUUUCUUCUUGCCUUAUACUGGGUUCUUUAACACCAGAACAAAAAUAAAUAAAUAAAAGAAUCUUCCAGAAAUUCAUGAAGAGACUUCAGGUCAGGAAAGCCUGAACUUUCUCAUCCAACACCCGUUCAAGUCGGAGGAUGCUGAUUAAUUCAUGAUGGAAAGGUAUCAAUUUCACAGCCCAGACCUCUACAUUCUUGAAAUGCUCUUCUCAUGGGAGACAUUAAAUAAGCUUUGAAUUAACUAAAAAUAUCCAACCCGAGCAGGAUAAAACUGAUCAUCCUGAGGAUAUUGCCCUUGGAGUUAAUUUUUUGAGAGAAAUAAAACAAUAAACAUCAUAAGACACAAACCCCAAGCAACUGAUCUCACUGUUAAAAUCCAACCUGAGAACAAUGGAAUGGGAAGCUGCAUAAAACACCAGUGAGCUCUAUCCCAACAGCAGAUUGCGCUCUCUAGAAGAAAAUUCUGAGAAAAAAAUUCAUAUGCAAGAAAUUUACUGGGGAGUGCUCUCAGACUCUGAACUGUGAAGAAAAAGGAUUGGACAGGGCUAGUAGAAGUCUAUAUGUUGUGGUGGAAAACAACCUCAGCCCUAUAGUCCAACAUUUGCCUAUCAAAACUUGUCCUAUGAUUUACAAAACUAGAACCUCACUGCAUGUACCUCUGGAGUCCUGAGCCACAAAGUAAGAAACUCAGCUACCCUGAUGUUGCCAUGUUAAAGAGACUAUCUGGAAAAGCCACAAAAAGAUAGAGAAAGAUGCUAAAGGGGCCUCUGCUGUUCUGGCCCCCACCUAAUUGAGCCAUCAGACAGCAUGAACCAUCAGAUAUAUGAAUGAACAAGGCUUCAGGUGAUUCCAGUCCCACCUACAAUCUGAUUCAGCCAUAUAGAGACU
rnacentral:lncRNA from 1 species